rnacentral:rRNA from 1 species
UGCAGUCGAGCGGUAACAGAUCCAGCUUGCUGGAUGCUGACGAGCGGCGGACGGGUGAGUAAUGCAUAGGAAUCUGCCCGAUAGUGGGGGAUAACCUGGGGAAACCCAGGCUAAUACCGCAUACGUCCUACGGGAGAAAGGGGGCUCCGGCUCCCGCUAUGGGAUGAGCCUAUGUCGGAUUAGCUAGUUGGUGAGGUAACGGCUCACCAAGGCCACGAUCCGUAGCUGGUCUGAGAGGAUGAUCAGCCACAUCGGGACUGAGACACGGCCCGAACUCCUACGGGAGGCAGCAGUGGGGAAUAUUGGACAAUGGGGGAAACCCUGAUCCAGCCAUGCCGCGUGUGUGAAGAAGGCCCUCGGGUUGUAAAGCACUUUCAGCGAGGAAGAACGCCUAGCGGUUAAUACCCGCUAGGAAAGACAUCACUCGCAGAAGAAGCACCGGCUAACUCCGUGCCAGCAGCCGCGGUAAUACGGAGGGUGCAAGCGUUAAUCGGAAUUACUGGGCGUAAAGCGCGCGUAGGUGGCUUGAUAAGCCGGUUGUGAAAGCCCCGGGCUCAACCUGGGAACGGCAUCCGGAACUGUCAAGCUAGAGUGCAGGAGAGGAAGGUAGAAUUCCCGGUGUAGCGGUGAAAUGCGUAGAGAUCGGGAGGAAUACCAGUGGCGAAAGCGGGCCUUCUGGACUGACACUGACACUGAGUGCGAAAGCGUGGGUAGCAAACAGGAUUAGAUACCCUGG